ensembl:lncRNA
AUGUUUCGUGGUUUUCACCAUCCCGGAGAACUUCCUCGGGGCCCUGCUCCCUUAGGCUACCCACCCCAUGUACAGCCACCCGGUCCCAGCUACGGAGGGCCCUUUGGCCCGCCACCCCACGUUCCAAUGCCUGGACACUUACCUCCUGGAUCUUGUCAUCCUUUCUUACCUCCCGGAUCGGGAAGUGAAUACCUCCACAGGCCCAUGAGGGAACAUUAUAUCAAUACUCCACACUGCAGCAGUUACUCCAUUGACCGCAGCACAGUGAUCAGUCUGGGUGGUCAACAGAUUCUCCCACCAGACACACAGCAUCUUCAGAUGCCACAGUGGCCCGCCAAUCCUUUGGAAUCAUGUCAAAGAGACAAGAGUGAGAACUUGACAGCUGGGGAAGAAUUCCUCAGAUGCCUUGCAGCUAAUAAGCCAGUCCCUGACUUCCUCAAAGGAGUCAACCUGUUGGACGCAGGGAAGGCAGUCAAGGCUCCAGGUGUACCAGAAGACCGGGGUUAUGAGAGGCAGAGACUCCGGAGCAAAUCUCGCAGUCCAGCGAAGGAAAGCAGGGGCAGGAGUAAGAGCCGAGCAAAGAGCCAGGUAAGAAGCAAGAGCCGGGCAAGAAGCAAGAGCUGUCCGCGCAGCAGAAGUCGUACCCGAGGGAAAAGCCGGGCAAGAAGCAAAAGCCGACCACGAAGCAGGAGUCGCAGUCGUGGAAAGAGCCAGGUCAGAAGCAAGAGCAAGGCUCGUAGUAGGAGCCGGAGCCGAGGGAAAAGUCGGGUGAGAAGCAAAAGCAGAUCAAGGAGUAGGAGUCGCAGCUAUGGAAAGAGCCGGGGCAGAGUGGACCAUCAUUCAGACCACAGGGACAAAAGGAGCCCCAUUCGGAGCUGUAGCAGCAGGAUCAGUAAUCACUCCUCCGUACACAAUGACCUGCUCGAGGGCCUGAAACAAGUUAUGAACAGCAAGCAACUGGAGGACAGUAUGCCUUCCAUCAAGAAUGCCAUUCUCACAAUACAGGCCAAUAACUUUAGCAGAGAUAUCCAGAGCAGCAGAGCAAUCCAGAGCAACUGUCUUCCAUGUGGACCAGUCUUGGCCAGCAGACAGGAAUUUCUUCAAGCCUCAGAUGGGCCCAAGCCAGUCAGCAGACAGGAGGAGACCGACAGCAAUCUUCUCCCCCACGAGAGAGUGGGCUGUGACUUCUCCUGGCUGCAGGGCACCAGGGAGGUCUCGCCUGUUCAGAAGCUGGAGGAGGUUGAGGAUGAGGAGAACUUCCUCUAUGGGAAUGAGGAUAACCAGUCAAAACAACGCCCUGCCACCCUGCCUUUUGCACCGUCCACAUCCAUUACCCAGCAGAGCGGUGCAGAGAUCUCCCCAGCAGGCCCACCCUACUAUCAAAGCCAGCCUCUGUUCGGGAACCAUAGUGAAGUCCUGGAGUUCAAGAUGCCUCCUCAACCGGUCCAGUCCAGUGUGAGGCCUGAGCAGAGGGUGCAGCCUGUUCCUGAUGUGAGGCCCGCCCCCACUGUGAAGGAAUGUGAGGAGUUCAAGACCAUGUUGAAGAACAUUGGACUGAAUCUGGGCACAUCAGAGAUCAGUAAGAUGAUGGUCAAGCUGCAGCAACAGAAGGAGGGGAAGGUGCCAGAGCAGAAGAGGGAGGAGAAAGUGCCAUCACCAGCACCAGUGCUGCCUCUUCCUCUUGUAAUUGGGGCAUCACAGGAGCCCAGACUGGCCUCGCCAGCACUCGGGGCAGCACUUGGGACAGCACCAAUACGACAAGCAUUGGAGUCAUUACAGUUCAUUAUUAAAGCAACAAGGGAGAAAAGGGCCAAUAGUGAUCCACAUGAUGGCAACCAUUCCCAAAGGAAUUCAGACAAACAGAAGAGCAAAGAUGACGAGGAGAGUCAGAGGAGAUCGAGACAUGACCAAAUGAAAAGGAAAGAAACUCUUGUGAAGGAACUGGAGGAAUUGCUAAAGCAGGAUGGGUCUACCUUUUUGAUUCCGGUCAUCGGGUUCUACUGUCAGAGGUGUGAGGAGUUCUUCGGAGACCUGACCACUGCUGAGGACCAUGCAGCAACCCACCGGCAGAAUGAGCCUAGCAUGCAGCAGCAUGGAGACAGACGACCUGGAGAGGACCGAAGACACCCUAGUCAUUACAUCGGGCACCCCCUGGGUCCAGAGUGGAGGGACCAGGGAGACCCAAGAGAUCAGAGGUAUCGCAAACUAGACGAGGGCCCAAAGGGUUACAGGAACGACAGGGAGAAGAUCUACGUAAAAGAGGAACGCCCUGGAAGCCCCAGGAUAAAGAUGCAGAUGGUCCGCGGGCACACCCCACCAGGUCUGCAGAAGGCCAGGGGGAGAGAGGAGGGGAGGGUGGAUAAGGGCUCUUGUGCUGCUUCCUCUGGCCAUGCCAGUGGGAAAUAUGGUAGGGUCAAACUUGAGGUAGUGGAGACCAAAGGAAAGCCCAACGUGGAAGUAUGUGACAAAAAGGACAAAGAUAAAGGAGAAAGCAGUUCUAAUAGUGAUGACGAGAAAGACAAAUCUCCUAAAGGCAACAAAAAGAAAAAGAAGAAGGAGAAAAAGAAGAAGGAAAAGAAGAAGAAGAAGAAGGAAAAGGGUUAGAAGUAAUAGCUGCUGUACUGCAUGUCCUGGUUUGAUUGUACUGUAUCUCUGGAGGACCUGGCCUUGGGUCAUUGUUUGGCAUCAUUGCAGCUGUUUUCAGAAGUUGGUGCUUUUAAUGUUAAAAAGAAGCAGUACUCCUCUGAUUCGUUCUCUCCUUUUGGGGUUGUCUUGUUUUUCAGCAAACUGCGUUCCUCUGUGUUGUAGUGGAUAACAGCACAUUGAAUGCUGUUGGAGGACAGGCCGUUCCAGGGUGCAUAUGCAGCAUUUAUGAUGUCCAGAAUUGUUUUGCUGCCAGCUACUGAUCCUAUUGUUCAGACCUUUAGUUACUGUAGAUGUUUAUUAAAUAACCCUCUUUAUAUUGGGCCAUGUUUGUGUAUAUUUCACCCGGUACAACCUUGAUUUAGUGCUUUGAGUGUUAUCAAAUGUACUUUUUGCAUUUAAAGGUCAACUGCCAUUUGAAGCGUGUGCUGUCUUUCUUCCUAAUGUUAAACCGAUGAGAUGGAAUUGUUCUGUAAUGAAGACAUUUUUAUGCAUUGUCCUCUUAUAAUAUGUCUCAGCAAUUGAUGGCGCAAGGCUAUUUGCAAGCGCACAUGAUCUUGCCAAAGUCAUUGGAUCCUAUCAGGAUAGGAACAGUUGACAUAUUUUUGUAAGGUGAUCACUUUUUUUUCUGAUUAUAUACAUUGUUUUUGUCUGCUGUUGCUUACUCUGACUUCCUUUUUCUCACACAUUAGGCAUUUCCAUUGAUCCAGGUUUAUUUGACAAAAGCAAUGUCAGAAACGGCAGAUAUGAGACAUUUUUAUCCGUUCAAUAGGCUUCUAUUUUUCUUUUGUUGAACUUUCUUUACUGCAACUAAUGAGGGAAACUACUUUUAACUACUUUUAAGGUAUGCUGGGCAUGUGAUGUCAUCACAUAACUUUAGGCUGCACUCCUAAAUGCCUACUGCUUGCAAAAUAAGUUUUCAUUUUGAGCUAACAUGGAAUUGUUUUAAGAUGGUCAUACCAUGGAUCAUUUAGCUAUUUGAUUUUGAAUUUUAUGACCCCUUUGGGUAUCAAAAAUAUUUAGUGAUUUGAUAAAAUAUUUAAUUUCACCUCUACUAUAGCACAUAGAAACGCAUUAAAUAACACAUUAAUAAAUGUCAUAAAAGACAGUAAAAAAAUAGAUCACAUGGAAUAAGGUUUUAAAGUGUCUGUCCUAGAUAUACGAAAGCUCAAGAAAUAGUUCAGUUUAGAAAGUAUUCAUUCCCCUUGACUUAUUCCACAUUUUGUUGUGCCUGAAUUAAACAAAACUAAAAAUUCUCACCCAUCUACACACAAUACCCCAUACUGACAAAGUGAAAACAUGUUUUUAGAAAUGUGCAAAUUUAUUGAAAAUGAAAUACAGAAAUGUCUCAUUUACAUGCACUACAGUUCAAAAGUUUGGGGUCACUUAGAAAUGUCCUUGUUUUUAAAAAGCACUUUUUUGUCCAUUAAAAUAACAUCAAAUUGAUCCGAAAUACAAUGUAGACAUUGUUCAUGUUGUAAAUGACUAUUGUAGCUGGAAACGGCAGAUUUUUAAUGAAAUAUCUACAUAGGCGUACAGAGGCCCAUUAUCAGCAACCAUCACUCCUGUGUUCAAAUGGCACGACUCCAGGAUGCUGGCCUUCUAGGCAGAGUUCCUCUGCCCAGUGUCUUGUUUUUCCUAUCUUAAUCUUUUCUUUUUAUUUGCCAGUCUGAGAUAUGGAUUUUUCCUUGCAUUUCUGCCUAGGCCAUCAUCCCUGAGUCGCCUCUUCACUGUUGACGUUGAGACUGGUGUUUUGCGGGUACUAUUUAAUGAAGCUGCUAGUUGAGGACUUGUGAGGUGUCUGUUUCUCAAACUAGACACUAAUGUACUUGUCCUCUUGCUCAGUUGUGCAUUGGGGCCUCCCACUCCUUUCUAUUCUGGUUAGAGACCGUUUGCGCUGUUCUGUGAAAGGAGUAGUACACAGCGUUGUACGAGAUCUUCAGUUUCUUGGCAAUUUCUCGCAUGGAAUAGCCUUCAUUUUUCAGAACAAGAAUAGACUGAUGCGUUUCAGAAGAAAGUACUUUGUUUCUGGCCAUUUUGAGCCUGUAAUCGAACCCACAAAUGCUGAUGCAGAAGGCCAGUUUUAUUGCGUCUUUAAUCAGAACAACCGUUUUCAGCUGUACUAAUAUAAUUGCAAAAGGGUUUUCUAAUGAUCAAUUAGCCUUUUAAAAUGAUACACUUGGAUUAGCUAACACAAUGUGCCAUUGGAGCACUGGAGUGAUGGUUGCUGAUAAUGGGCAUCUGUACGCCUAUGUAGAUAUUUCAUAAAAAUCUGCUGUUUCCAGCUACAAUCGUCAUUUACAACAUUAACAAUGUCUACACUGUAUUUCUGAUCAAUUUGGUGUUAUUUUAAUUGACAAAAAAAUGUGCUUUUCUUUCAAAAAACGAGAACAUUUCUAAGUGUUUGAACGGUAGUCUAAGUAUUCACACCUGAGUCAAUACAUGUUAGAUUCACCUUUGGCACCGAUUACAGCUGUGAGUCUUUCUGGGUAAGUCUCUAAAGGCUUGUUCACAUAAACAAUUUGAAGUGACUCAUCUGUUCUUUUUCCUGCAGUCUGAACAGCCAAAAAGCACAUGGAAUUGGAUAUUUCAAGCCACACAAGGGUAGUAUUAAGUCAGAGAAAAAAAUGAUUCCUGGCCAUGUGACUUGUCUGAAUGGUCAAAUCUGAUUCAUUUCUGGUUUUUAGACUGCUAUUCAGCUUAUCUUGUUGCUUGUUUGCUACUCUGUUGACAGUUUGACAAGAACAUGUGGUAGCUAACUAGCUUGAUAAUUGUUUACAACAAAUUAGUGUGUGCUUUAUAGCUAAACCGCUGGCUAGCUAGUUUACUACUGUGGCUAACCAAAAAGGACUUGUUUUGAAAGUUGGAUCAUCUUAUCCUUUGAGGCUUUAAAAAUGUUCUUACCCUAUGAUUUUGAAGAUUCAAAGCAACUGGGAAAUGUCCAUGGCAGGCAUUGUUGUCAUGUUAACUUGCUCCAUAACUUUUGAGUGACAGGAAGCAAAAGCACCACCACCAAUCAGCCUGCACCACUGCACAC